ACUCAUCAUUCCAGCCAAUCAGCAGCAGACCCUUCCUCCCAGACCCUCCCACCUCCUGGACAGCAUCCAUUUUGAAGCUGCAUUCUUAGUAGGCUGUGCAGGAGAUGGGAGGGUCUGGGAGGGAGGGUCUGCUGCUGAUUGGCUGGAAUGAUGAG